GUAACCUGCGCUCAACCCUGACGCAUCUUUCUACAGCUGAAAACAUGGAACAACAACUUGGAAUGAAUCUACUGGUGAUUGUUGCUACUGCAAUAGCUGUAAUCUUAAUAGCUCCAAGUGGAGCUUUCGCGCUCGGAGGAUACGUUGGCGGAAACGAAGCCAUCGAAUUUGGUCGCGAAGAAUGAUUCAACAUUCGUCUUGUGGGAACCACGUGCACAGGCCUUCCAGAGGGGGCGCAAGGUGACGCAGAGUGGUGGUGCACGUGGUCCACUUGCGCUCGUCAAAAGGGCCAGCCUGCGUCAUGCUCUAACAACAGAUGUCUUGGCUGUCAUGAUGAACGGAUGCUGUCACCCGUGCUGGCCGAUUGCUGCUGCCCGGAAUGAUGGUCGCUGAGAGCUGCCGUCUCUAGGCCAAUCCUGCAAUAUGC